AAUGAACGUUGGCGGCGUGGAUUAGGCAUGCAAGUCGAGCGCGAACCCCGCAAGGGGGGAGAGCGGCAAACGGGGUAGUAACGGGUAGGUGACGUACCCUCGGGUUGGGGAUAGCCACGGGAAACUGUGGGUAAUACCCAAUAAUCUCCUGGAGCUUGAAGGCUUCGGGAGCAAAGGUGUGAUUCCACCGGAGGAGCGGCCUGCUUCGUAUUAGCUAGUUGGUGAGGUAACGGCUCACCAAGGCAUCGAUGCGUAGGGGGUGGGAGAGCAUGACCCCCACCACUGGGACUGAGAGACUGCCCAGACACCUACGGGUGGCUGCAGUCGAGAAUCUUCGGCAAUGGGCGCAAGCCUGACCGAGCGACGCCGCGUGUGGGAUGAAGGCCCUUGGGUUGUAAACCACUGUCAGAGGGGAUGAAGUGCCAGAGAGUAAUCUCUUUGGUUUGACAUAGCCUCAGAGGAAGCACGGGCUAAGUUCGUGCCAGCCGCCGCAGUAACAC
rnacentral:rRNA from 1 species